rnacentral:rRNA from 1 species
UACGGAGGGUGCGAGCGUUGUCCGGAAUCAGUCUGGGCGUAAAGGGCGCUAGGCGCCUGAUAAGUAGGGGGGUGAAACUCCUGCGGCUUAACCGCAGGGGCUGCCUUCUAAACUGUCAAGCUCGAGCACAGUAGAGGCAGGUGGAAUUCCCGGUGGUAGCGGAUGGAAUGCGUAGAGAUCGGGAGGAACACCGUGGCGAAGG